GGUUAAUUGACGAAUAUUUUUCGUCAUAGUCUUUGUCAACGAAAUUAACACUGAUUCUGAGCUCACAGUCAAUGUUACUGUUUUACCCUUCAGACAGACUUCAGGUCGGAAGAGGAGGUUCCGUGAGGAGGAAGAGGAGGACAGUGUAGACUCAGGAUUCAGCUCUCUGUCUACACAGAGUGACCAGUCCAUAGGGGAACCUCCAUUCUUCAGACUGACUUCAGGCCGGAAGAGGAGGUUUCUUGAGGAGGAAGAGGAGGACAG
rnacentral:lncRNA from 15 species